rnacentral:rRNA from 1 species
GCAGCGGGAGGUGCUUGCACCUCGCCGGCGAGCGGCGGACGGGUGAGUAAUGCAUAGGAAUCUGCCCGGUAGUGGGGGAUAACCUGGGGAAACCCAGGCUAAUACCGCAUACGUCCUACGGGAGAAAGCAGGGGAUCUUCGGACCUUGCGCUAUCGGAUGAGCCUAUGCCGGAUUAGCUAGUUGGUAGGGUAAUGGCCUACCAAGGCAACGAUCCGUAGCUGGUCUGAGAGGAUGAUCAGCCACACUGGGACUGAGACACGGCCCAGACUCCUACGGGAGGCAGCAGUGGGGAAUAUUGGACAAUGGGCGCAAGCCUGAUCCAGCCAUGCCGCGUGUGUGAAGAAGGCUUUCGGGUUGUAAAGCACUUUCAGUGGGGAAGAAAGCCUGUCGGUUAAUACCCGGCAGGAACGACAUCACCCACAGAAGAAGCACCGGCUAACUCCGUGCCAGCAGCCGCGGUAAUACGGAGGGUGCGAGCGUUAAUCGGAAUUACUGGGCGUAAAGCGCGCGUAGGCGGCGUGAUAAGCCGGUUGUGAAAGCCCCGGGCUCAACCUGGGAACGGCAUCCGGAACUGUCAGGCUAGAGUGCAGGAGAGGAAGGUAGAAUUCCCGGUGUAGCGGUGAAAUGCGUAGAGAUCGGGAGGAAUACCAGUGGCGAAGGCGGCCUUCUGGACUGACACUGACGCUGAGG